AAAGUAAAAGUACAUGUAGCCUACUCAUUAUGCAGAAUGAUGCAUUUCACAUUGUUUAUAUAUCAAGGAAUUAUAAUUACUGGUGUGUUAUUUUCCACAUCACAAUGUUGAAGCUGGUAAAGGUGGAAUUAAAAUGUACUUCACACACUGCUGGGUAGCUUGUGAAUUUCCCACUGAAGAUCAGUGACAUUUAAUAAUUAUAAUGGUAUUUGUUUUAUUAAUCUCAUUGAGAAAAUUAAGUAAUCAAGUAAAUGUAGUGGACUAAAAAGUACAAUAUUUGCAUCUGCAAUGUAGUAAAGUGCAAGUAUGAGGUAGCAGAAAAUGAAUACACUCAAGUACAGAUACCUCAAAACUGUAUUUGGGUGCAGUACUUGAGCAGAUGUACUUAGUUACUUUCACCACUGUCAGUGUAUACAUCAUGUACAGUAGCUGCUGGAACAAGCAGAUGACACAUGUGUGUGAGUGUCAUCCAGGGUAGAAAUACAGUAUAUAUUUGUCUUUACACUGAAGUAACUUUAACAAUGUGAGUUAUCAUGUUGAAGAAAAUGUCAUCUUACAGUGAUCACUUGUUAAAAAUUAUAAUUAGUGAAAUAAUAGCCCAAUGCUAAUUAUUAUACAUGACUUCAUACUGUAAAAGAAGGUUAAUUAGUGUUUGACUUCACAAAGUUCAGGCAGAAAACUUACAAGCAGCACAACCAGCAAUGUGGCGUUCUGUUGUGUCCCAAUUUUGUGUUCACCUCGUAGUGACUUAACACAGAGUCCACAGUAUUUUUUCAGAUGGCUCCAGUUUAUUGGCAUCCAAUGAAUAACUUUCAUUACAGAAAAAUGUCACCCUACUGGUGGAGUCCUGGUAGUUAUGAUUCUGCACACAGAAACACAAACCACACAGCAAGUAGGCCGCCAGGAGACACCCAUCAAUCACAGAGUUCUCUGGAUAGGAUUUGGAGCAGCAGCAUUUCCCACAUGAGCCUGUUACAUCAGCUGGUUUGGAGAGGGCUGGCUACUCUGCGGGGAGAGGUCUGACCACAUGUGUUCUCUGGCUGGAGAGACAGUUGGGAGUAUUUCUGUGAAUC